AUAGGCUUCAAAAACAAUAGGACACAAAUGAACACUUUGUAAAGCGUAAAACUCGCAAGAAGACGACAGAAUAUUACUGGACAAAAGGAUUCGUAAAAACAAUGAUAUGAAAAUAAUCUGAAGGAGUUGGAUUCGUUAAAGUAAGUGCAUGGUGUGGAUUCUAAGUUAAGUUAAAAUAAUGAAUAAUUAAACUUAAUAUCUUAACUCUGAGUUGGAGCUUACAAAAUGUACAUUUUGUUAAAACCAUUUUUUGUUAAAAAUCUUUAGUUUAGGAAUUAAAAUAGUUCUAUCCUUUCUUCUUUUUUCUUAUUAAAAAUUUUAUUAUUUCAACCCAACAUCAUAUUUGCAGAUGAAUUAACUAUACCUCUAUAGUCUCUACAUAGAUACGCAAUUAACCUCUGUUAUAUAUAUUUUGCUAAAAUACCACGAAAUUUUAAGCAAAAGAUUAGAAAACCAUCUUCACUUCAACCAUGCACGCUAUACAUGGGCUUCGACUGGAUGUGUUGCCUGCCUCAUGAAUCGUAUAGAGCUAUACGCAUGAAGUUCGCCUACACGCAGUGCUUUUUUUGCAAAACUGCGCCAUCUUGCCCGUUGGCGUUCAAUUUACUACUUUUGGAAAUGCGUUUUAUCUAAAAGUCCAAAUCUUCAUCAGCGCGCGACUAUUAAAUGUAAACGCUGCGGGUUCGACAAAAUAAAACAAUAUACGCAUGCAAAGCAACCUAUACUGCAAAUUAAUUGAUAUAUUUUCACAAAAGCGUGUAUUUUACAAUUGGCUGUAAGGGAACAAAAUAUGUGUUAUAUUAAAUAAUGCAUAUAUAUGAAAACGAUAUUCCUGAUAUGUGUCCCAGUGGCGUGAUAUCUUUGAAGCAUCACUCGAAGUUGAAAUGUAUCUUACUCAAGGACAAGGACAAGGCACAAGCGAUUCAUUUGGGAACUUGCCACGCACUCAGUUUUAAAUAUCACGUGCUAUACGAUCAUCUUCUGAGUUUUGACACCAGAAACUCCCCACUCAGAUGGAAACUUUACUUGUUUUCCUCAUUUCAUUUCUCAAUGGGAGGAAGGCAGUGAAUGAAAAGAAAAUUGAAAGUUCCAUUGAAUUUUGUUUAUACAAAUUGCAACUUUCCCUACAUUCAGAGCUACGCACAUGAUAUUUCAACCGUACGCUAUAAACAUCUGACGACAUCAUCAAUAAUUAACAAUAAUCGUCAGUAUAACAUUAAGCAAAACCUGAAAUCGGCCCAAACCAUCGUAGUAUGUUAACGUAACGUGUUUCAAAAAGAUUGCCCGGCGCUACAUGCUUAAGUUCCCUGCAAUGUUUUGUUUAAACAGGUGAAAAUAUAAAAAUAUAUUUGGCAAGUUCUCAUAGUUCUUCAAACAUGUUGUUUUUAUGAAUGUAUUAUCUUUCUUUGCACAUUACUCAUUAGACUUGUAUUUUUGUCCUUUUAUAUAUAGCAGGAUUUAGAGGGUUAGGAAGCUAGUCGUGAAUUUUUAAGUUUUUCUUAGCAAUUGUUUUUUGAACAAGCGACGUUGGCGGUGUUUUAUGAGUGUCUCUGUAUCCUAUGACGUCCGCAUUUUAUAAAAUUGCCGCUCUCUGAAAUGAUUUUUCACGAAAACAGGAAAUAGCAAUUCUCUGGAGGAUAUCAGUGACAAGAUGUUAUUAAAAUUUGAGACUUCAUAUAGCCACUUUAUUAAAUAUCAUUUAUCAGCAUUACUUUUGAUCUACGCAAUUAUAGCGCCAUAUGUAUGACGAGUAUAGAUAUAUUAUGACUCUGACAGGUACAUUGUGUAUACGAUUCUGAUCGACGAUAAUCAUAAAAAUGCUCAUUCAUGCGUUCAUACAGAUCAGCAAAAUAUCUUUGUCUGACAAAAGCAAUGGGACAUAUAUAUUUCACACAAUUUUAUACACUCAGCGUCCCCGUCGUCUCCGUUUAAUGUUUGUCCAACUAAUUUUUUUUAAAAAAAGAUGUCUGUUAACCAGACCGCAACAAGCUGAAAAGUUUGGAAGGAGGGGGCGGGGGUAUAAUACACAGGGGCGCCGAGAGAAUUCGCGGGGCCCGGGGCAAAUCUUCCCUGGGGGCCCCAUGACAUCAUUAUUUUUCAGCUAGACCCAAUUAGACCUUAGCUAGACUGCGUGUGGAGGUACUGUAAAAGGUCCUCAAUUUCAAAAAUGCUCUGAUCAAUUUAAAGAACCUACUCAAUUUUAGGCUCUCAAGUUGGGGCCCUAUUAAGGUGGGGGCCCGGAGCAAUUUGCUCCCGCCUGCCCCCCCCCCUCCCCCCUCGGCGGCCCUGUCAAUACAUGCGAAUGCAUGUUGCAGUAAAACUAGGUUGUACCAGUGUCGCUAUAGUGCAAGUCGAUACCAAUUUUUCUUCUUAUCAUAGUAUUGUCAGUAUUUUAUACUUGAUCCUAUUUUACAUUUUGUAAUUUUAGUAUGUUGUAUCACAUGAUUCAACUACAGCUGCAAGGAUUUAUUAAACGCAUUUAACUAUUUCUAUUUUGUCAAAUAUUGGAUUUCAAUUUGGUGCCCGUAGGCGUAGCCACUUUCACACAUUCUAGACCUAUUUCUAACGUUGUAGUCCAGUAUAUGUAAUGUAACAUGCGCAUGUUAUAUACAGCUAUUUCAAUUAAGGUUGUCCCCCGAGCAAUAUAUAUAUAUAUAUAUGCGAUACUUUGUUGAUAUACGUAAAUUAUUCAAGCACGUUUGAGGGCAGCACUAGUGGGUGGGCGGGAUGCAUGGGAUGGUGAUGGGUUUGUCAUAGGUAUUUUUUUUUUUGGGGGGGGGGGCUUAAUUAUAGAGUAUUUACAAUGCCAGUUCGGUAUAGCUGACCUGAAUAUAUUGUAUUUGGUUCAUAUAUGGAAUAAUCAGACAUCUUUCCAGUUCGAAUUGUUGGAGCAGAAAGAUCAAUAAUUGUUGUAAAAACCCAAUCUACAUAUAGGAUUAUUUCUAUUAAUCAUCAUAUUAAAAUCGAGCUAAAGUAUUAAUUUGAUAUUGAACACGACAUGGUAAAACACUCGAAACUGUCGGAAAUAUUGUCGCCAGCUCGUUCUGCUGCCUACAUGCAUAAGUUCACGUAAUUGCGACAUCUGAGAAUUUAAAACAACAAUAUUCGCUACACGUCCAACUUCUAAGUAUCACACUCUUACGAUAUCAAGAGAUACCCAAUCAAAAUUCUCGAAUCAAAAAUGUUGAGAAAAAUUUACAUCAUUAUCAUUAAAGAAUCAGUAACGCACAAUUAAGCCAUGCAUGCGUGUGUAUAUAAAUCCCUAGAUUCAAGUGCAGGUCUUUUAAUGACGGCGAACGCGACGCAGACAUAUCAAGAUUUAAAUUUGAAACUUUAAAUUUCUUUGAAUAGAGAAGGUGAAGCAAACAGUACUGAACGACUAAUGAUCCUCCAAACAGAAAAAUGAUCUUUCUGCUUGUUCUCUCGCUAUUCCUGUGUCCAGGUAAAUUCACAUUUAUGCACAUAUAGCUUCCGUUUUCAUAAUUCUGAUAUAUAUGUAUAGAUGGUCUUUCGGUACACCGAUUCAAAAAGUAAUUAUCAUCUUUCUCCCGAUAUUAACUCGAAUCAAGAUAAUCACUGCUGCCGUAUCGAAUACUUCAAGACCAGCAGUUUUACAAAGUAUACAUAUAAUACCAUGUAUUAUUCUCUUUGAAAGUCAAAAUGUUAAAAAUACCAAAGUUUAUGCUAGAGUUAUAGCGAAGAAGACUGACUGCUUUGUUUUAGUGUUUUUCCUAUUUCAAAGGGCUAUAAUUUCACAUGCAUGCAUAAAUUGUUUUCAAUCUUAAACGUUUACACUUCACCAUAAUAAGCAGUCUCUGUUCAAAAAUUAUUUUAUUUGGCUACAUCCUGGUAAUGCGUAGAUACAUUUACCUAUUUUAUGCUUAUGCUAUCGUAAUGUUAAAUUCUAGGUCAGCUAAAUUCAAAUGAAUUCACUGCAAGGGGGACAGCGCAUUUCAGAAUAACAGGAACACUAUGCAUACGCGUGGAUAACGCGCGAGACAUCGUGGAUCGUGAAUCUGACGUGUACAAAGGCAUCGCAGGAAAUCUUACACGAGGGGUAUUAUACUACAUCAGAUACUUGACAUACUACUUAUACUGAUCUGAGAUAUUUUUCGCACCUUUGUGUUUGAGCAAAUUUUCAAAUUUUUAACACGUUUCUAUCAUAUAAUACUUUUGUUUGUGGAAACACCACGUAAAUUUAUUACUGCAAAGCUUUCGAUCCGUAAGCCCGGAUCUUCAUCAGUGCUAAAUAAGAUCCGGGCUUACGGAUCGAAAGCUUUGCAGCAAUAAAUUUACGUGGUGUUCCCACAAACAAAAGUAUUAUAUGAUUCAUCGCCAGCAAACCUACAAAGAACUCAUGUUUUUAUCAGUUUAAACUCGUUGUUUUGAUUAAAGAAAGAGUUAAGGAAAAUAUUUCAAGUGGACUGGUUCGAGGCAACAUUUGAACUUUUGGAACUGAACCAGUAGACAACCAAAGGGGGAACCACAGAAUGAGAGGUUGCCUGUUCUCUCCUUUUCCAUUCGACCAACAUUUCUUGCCAACAUGAUCAGUUUUUCAUUUCAAACUCAUUCCUAGCUCUGAAAAAAAAACGUCUAGACCAUUUCCAAAACGUUUGGAAUAGUUUGAGGGAAAUGUGAACUUUUGAAAAAUAAGGGUUAAAGUCUCUCCGUAUACUUUUAUGGUAUUAAAACUCACAUACUGUAAUGUUGACGACCGAAUAUUCUCAUAUAAAUUCUUGUUCUCUUUACUUAUAUAGUUCGGCACAUUUUUCCCCAACACAUAUCCUUGGCUCAACUAUACAGUAACUGUGUUAGAACUUUU